rnacentral:rRNA from 1 species
UACGGAGGGGCUAGCGUUGUUCGGAAUUACUGGGCGUAAAGCGCACGUAGGCGGCUUUGUAAGUUAGAGGUGAAAGCCCAGGGCUCAACCCUGGAAUUGCCUUUAAGACUGCAUCGCUUGAACAUCGGAGAGGUAAGUGGAAUUCCGAGUGUAGAGGUGAAAGUUCGUAGAUAUUCGGAAGAACACCAGUGGCGAAGGCGACUACUGGACGAUUGUUGACGCUGAGGUGCGAAGCGUGGGAGCAAACAGGAUUGAGAUACCGUAG